GAUGAACGCUGGCGGCGUGCCUAAUACAUGCAAGUCGAACGAGGUGCUUUUGUAGCAAUACGAGAGUAUCCUAGUGGCGAACGGGUGAGUAACGCGUUGGUGACCUGCCCCAAAGUGUGAGAUAACAGUCCGAAAGGAUUGCUAAUACCGCAUGUGGUCAUUGGGUUUAGAAACCGAUGACUAAAGCAGCAAUGCGCUUUGGGAGGGACCUGCGUCCCAUCAGCAAGUUGGUGAGGUAACGGCUCACCAAGGCGACGACGGGUAGGGGACCUGAGAGGGUGGCCCCCCACAAUGGAACUGAAACACGGUCCAUACACCUACGGGUGGCAGCAGUAGGGAAUAUUGCUCAAUGGGCGAAAGCCUGAAGCAGCAACGCCGCGUGCGCGAUGAAGGUCUUCGGAUCGUAAAGCGCUUUUCUGCGAGAUGAGAAAGGACAGUAUCGUAGGAAUAAGUCUCGGCUAACUACGUGCCAGCCGCCGCAGUAACAC
rnacentral:rRNA from 1 species